rnacentral:rRNA from 1 species
UACGGGGGGAGCAAGCGUUGUUCGGAUUUACUGGGCGUAAAGGGCGCGUAGGCGGCGCAACAAGUCACUUGUGAAAUCUCCGGGCUUAACUCGGAAAGGUCAACUGAUACUGUGCGACUAGAGUGCAGAAGGGGCAACUGGAAUUCUCGGUGUAGCGGUGAAAUGCGUAGAUAUCGAGAGGAACACCUGCGGCGAAGGCGGGUUGCUGGGCUGACACUGACGCUGAGGCGCGAAAGCCAGGGGAGCGAACGGG